UACGAAGGGGGGCUAGCGUUGCUCGGAAUUACUGGGCGUAAAGCGCGCGUAGGUGGUUCGUUAAGUUGGAUGUGAAAUCCCCGGGCUCAACCUGGGAACUGCAUUCAAAACUGUCGAGCUAGAGUAUGGUAGAGGGUGGUGGAAUUUCCUGUGUAGCGGUGAAAUGCGUAGAUAUAGGAAGGAACACCAGUGGCGAAGGCGACCACCUGGACUGAUACUGACACUGAGGUGCGAAAGCGUGGGGAGCAAACAGG
rnacentral:rRNA from 1 species